AUUGAACGCUGGCGGCAGGCCUAACACAUGCAAGUCGAGCGGAUGAAGGGAGCUUGCUCCUGGAUUCAGCGGCGGACGGGUGAGUAAUGCCUAGGAAUCUGCCUGGUAGUGGGGGAUAACGUCCUGAAACGGGCGCUAAUACCGCAUACGUCCUGAGGGAGAAAGUGGGUGAGCUUCGGACCUCACGCUAUCAGAUGAGCCUAGGUCGGAUUAGCUAGUUGGUGGGGUAAAGGCCUACCAAGGCGACGAUCCGUAACUGGUCUGAGAGGAUGAUCAGUCACCUUGGAACUGAGACACGGUCAAGACUCCUAAGGGAGGCAGCAGUGGGGAAUAUUGGACAAUGGGGGAAAGCCUGAUCCAGCCAUGCCGAGUGUGUGAAGAAGGUCUUGCGAUUGUAAAGCACUUUAAGUUGUGAGGAAGGGCAGUAAGUUAAUACCUUGCUGUUUUGACGUUACCAACAGAAUAAGCACCGGCUAACUUCGUG
rnacentral:rRNA from 1 species